rnacentral:rRNA from 1 species
CUACGGGACGCUGCAGUGGGGAAUCUUAGACAAUGGGGGAAACCCUGAUCUAGCCAUGCCGCGUGAGCGAUGAAGGCCUUAGGGUUGUAAAGCUCUUUCGCCAGGGAUGAUAAUGACAGUACCUGGUAAAGAAGCCCCGGCUAACUCCGUGCCAGCAGCCGCGGUAAUACGGAGGGGGCUAGCGUUGUUCGGAAUUACUGGGCGUAAAGCGCGCGUAGGCGGGCUGUUAAGUCGGGGGUGAAAUCCCGGGGCUCAACCCCGGAACUGCCUCCGAUACUGGCAGCCUCGAGGUCGAGAGAGGUGAGUGGAAUUCCGAGUGUAGAGGUGAAAUUCGUAGAUAUUCGGAGGAACACCAGUGGCGAAGGCGGCUCACUGGCUCGAUACUGACGCUGAGGUGCGAAAGUGUGGGGAGCAAACAGGAUUAGAUACCCUCGUAGUC